UGUUCUACUAACUGUUUAGAUAGGUUUGUAUAGUAGCCAAAGCCUUAGCUCAUGUCUCCCGCUGGCUGUGAGGGAAAUUAACCAAAACAAUGCCUUGUAACCGGAACAAUAUUUAACCAUUUUCACGUUCUAAUGGGCGGCGGUUCAAUUCCCUGAACAUGAUAUUUGUUUCGCAAUAUCAUCCCAAGACCUUUUUAUAAAGUGGGUGUGGUGGCUGAGUAGCAAAGCGCUUGGUUUCCAAAACAAGAUGUCCCGGGCUCGAAACUCGGUGAAGGCUGGGGUUUUCAUUUUCAGUCCACCCAAACAAAACUGAGUACCUGACAUUAUUUGUGGAAAGUAAGUACAGUUGGUCGUUGUGCUGGCCACAUGACACCUUCGUUGACCGUCGGUCAUAGAAACAGGUGAUCUUUACACCAUCUGCACCAUUGAUUGCAAGUCCUGAAAGUGGUACUAUUAUUUUAUUUACGUUUUUAUAAAGCCGACAUACAAAUGUUGAAUAGAACAGAAUUAUACUUCCGAUUGAAGCAAAUAAUGAACAUUAUUAUGUCAUUCUUUGCUUGUAAGUAGACCAAAAGACUACAGUAUGAAAUGUAAAGCCUGUAGCAAUUGAAGCACUAAAUUUAUUUCCUUCUUACUUUCUUACAGUGUCGUCACUAUGCACACGUGUCUUCAUUUCGUUAUUUCUUUCAGAAAAGGAGAUAAAAAUUUGUUUUAUUGCGUCUACACCAAAAAAAAAGAACGAAUAAGAUUACACGAACUCAUAGGCGACCCCCACCAGAUCCGCCAAAGGACAAGGAAUUUUCAUACUAUGGUUUUGUUUAAAUUAUCUGAAGUAAUACUAUUUCAAAGAAUUAUUUAGCAUUGUUAAUUCACUUUACAACAAACUGGACCAGAUAUCGAUAAUGAGAUUUCUAGAUCUCUUGUCAAGAAAACUAAAUGCAUAAUAGAUUUUGGAUAAUUCUUUGGCGUUGUCUUAUGUUUAAAAAAAAAUUCUGACCACAAAAAACAAACCGCGGCCAUCAUGCUCAACAACGUUAAGACUUGGGGAAAUUCUCAAUGUGGCCAUGACCGGAUAAUUAUAAAAAUCUCCCAAGUCAUGGCCUAUGUAUUUGUUAAAGUCAAAUCUGAGUAAAAUGUGUGCUAACUAUUCACACGUAGAUUUUGCUAUUCAUCAAAUAGUAAUUCAUAUCCGACCAGAUGAUUCAACUCUCUCCUAAAACAUUGAACACAUCUGUAAAUAUUUGAUUCCAUGGCAUUCUUACUGUUAACGUAACACGUCUGUACAUUUACCUAGUUUUAAUAUCCUACAGUUAUGUUUGUACAAUACGACUUCCUUUUUAGCGGCCCCCGAAAGGGGAAAAGACGCUAUUAGUUUUGUGUGGCCUGUCUGUCCGUCUGUCUGUCCGUCCGUCCCGUUUCGAUCUCGUAAACUAGAAAAGAUAGGGAAAAUCCGACAUUAAUUUAAAAGCAAUCAAAGCUCUGAUGCAACGGCUUCUUUUUUCUUUUCUGAAAGCGAAAAAUCUAAUUUUUUAAAUCACUUAUGCAAGCAGUUUUUUCAUAAAAAUACACAAUUUUUCAACUAUUCACUAUUAAUAGUAACAAACACUUGAGGCUCUUUAUUAGGGGAGACUACUAUUUACCAUAUUUUUAACACUGUUUGUUUUUAUAUUUUUAUUGUUAAGUUAUGUAAUUUCUGUUAUUCUAAAUACUAUACUUACGCACAAAAAAUGUAUGCAUAUAAGUCAGACAUAAUUUAAAAAUACAAUUAAUAAGUAGUUUUUCACAUUAUCGCGUAAACUACAAUUCCUAUAAUUGCAAGGUACACCUAACCAAAGAAAAAAAGAUUUUUUUUAAGGAGAUAUAUUAUUCUUAAGGAAUAAGAGAUUGGCUCUUUACGAAACAAUUAGAUCAAUUAGAUAUUCAUUAUUAGACAUCAGUUAGGCCAGGUUCACAUCUAACUUCACAUUUACUUUCACCUAUCCUUUGGUCUGCUGGACCGCUGGGGCACCACACUACAUCCGUUAACCUUUUUCUCCAUUAUUUUCUGUCAUUUGUCUUUGAUAGAAUUUCAUUCUGAUAAUAUUGAAACCUACCUUUUUAGCUGCCUGGGUGGACCACUUCGGGUGCCGAUUUUCAGUUUCUGUUUCCACACAGACUGUCUUUGUAUCCUUGUUUAUUCUUCUUCUUCGUUCUCAUUGUUAUGUUAGAGUGUUCAUAUGACUAGACCAAUACAUGAGAUGAACUGCGCAGUGGUUUCCAAAUCAUGGAGCUCUCCAUACAGUUUUCUUUCUAUAGAAUUUUUUACCUUUCAAACUUUUAUGUCCGAGAUUUCCUACACAUUGCAGACGAUAUUUCCCCAUAUGCUCUUUUCAUGUGAAUUAUUUGUUCUUGGAAAACAUUGAUUUCCUGUACAAGGGACUAAGUGUGUCGGAAAUGUCCAUGUGUCUAUUGCAACUCCGUCACACGAUGGGGCCUGCUGUCCUCAGGAUGUCACUUUAGUAAAAUUUGAGACUUUGUCCAAGCUACUUAAAUUUGAAUAUGUUUUUUUGGUGUUAACGCUCAUUAUAUAAUAUUAAUUAACCUUCCUUUUCCCCCUCCAACACACAAUAUGUGUGCACUAUUCAAAUAUUUCCAGUAUUGUGAUUCCCUGUGGCUGGUGAAUAUUGACUUCAUUGAACGUCAUUAUGUUACCAUAUCAGUACUUUUGAAAAAUAUAUGCACCAUGUGCAGGGCAUUUGUCCUUUGACCCUGUUCUUAAAUUAAGUUCCAAUAACUCUGAUCAUCUUCCUUAUUAAUCUAUCAAUCUGAUCUGGAGAUAUUAUGUUUCUUAUUUCCCUUGACUACAUUUAUUAAUCAUGUACAAAAUCUUUCUCAAUCAAUACAAUCUUUUAUUAUUUUGUUAUCUCCCCUGAUAACGGUCUCCUACUGUACCUAAAGCCCAAUAUCUGCGGCUCCACCUUCCAGGUGUCUGCUGUCUACUUCCUAGAUCGUAUAUUUACGAGCCUUCGCUUUAGAAGGUAACAUUAGCCACCCUUAUUCCUUUACCAGCUAGAGACGACCAGCCCAGAGCCGGUCUUACAUAUACAACGCAGACGAGCCCAUUUAACAACUCACCAGAAGCAACAAGAUAUACAGUUGAGAUAAUAGGGACAAUCUUUCAUGGUAGCACACAUACAAUCGAUAAUUAUAAAUACUCUUUCCAGUUUUAUAUAACUCUCGAAUACUGUAGCAUACCCACCCCUUUCCAUCUCGUAUUAUUUCAUUAAUAAACAUUAGUAGAUUUGUAUAAACACAUCUGUUGUUAAUUGCCUUCAUCUCAUCGUUGUGCCUGCAUGUACACUAGCUUUAGGUGUACACAUUUCUCUUAGACUUAACAGCCAGCACACAAUAGCAUAACACGUUUCACAACAAGCAAAAUACAAAAAUCCAUGUAAAAAAAAAAAAAAAAAGAUUAUCUAAGGGGAAGAACUCUAUCAAUAACGUAUAACUUUGUUCCCUUAUUCGAAAUGAAACAAAAACAAAGUAACAAUAACUAAUUGAAUAAUUGGUAAUUCAUUUAGUUUUUUAUGUAUUGCAUAAUGAAAUAAAUAUUUACUGAAAGUAUCAUAUAGAUCGGAUUAAGAGUGUGGGCGAAAAAAGCAUUUAAAAAGCAAUUAUCUAAGGGAACUAAGCCUUACAAAUUAAGCCAUUUAUGUGAAUACUGAAAGAUUUAUUUCCCUUGUUGGUAUCAAACUAAAUAAUUAACUACCAAUAAUUAAAUGAUGAAAUUAUUAGUUUUUGUGUUGAUUCAUGUGUAGUAGAGAAAGAGUUAAACUGAGAAUGGAUGUGGGACAAAUAACGUGUACACACUUUUGACCAGACAGACAAAAAGACAAACAGAAUAAUAACAAGAAAACAUUUUUAAAAUACUUUAAAAAAGACAAUUCCUUCUUAAUGCAACUUAUUGUUUUUCUCUUAAAAAGUAAUGAAUUAGUUUUAAAAAAAACAAUGGAACAUUAUUUUUAUCCCGCCUCUCUCCCACCCCUUUUAGUUCCGAGAAAGAACCCUGGUUAAGCGAAUAUCUAGAUCUAGUACACUAUACACAACGACACUGACAAGCACUCAGAUCUAUACUUACAAGACGAUGCGCAAAAUGUUCCCGAAAAUUUCAAGUACAAAAAAAAACAACAACAAAGGAUUAUCAAAAUUCACUAUUCCGACAUUACAUUAACUUUUUUUUACCAAAAAUGGUAGAAGUCUCAUUAUCUAUAAUAGGUUGAUUAGUUUGUUGUCAUGUAAAUACAAAAUUCUAAAUGAUUCUUUGAAAUUGUAUAACGUUAAAAAAUGUAAACAAAAAGGUUUCCAUUGGCAGAUCCGGUGGAGUUUGUGUAAUAGCACAAACUAUCUGUGUCAUCUUUUAUAUUAUUUUCUUUUGUGUGUUAAGGAUUUCCUUAGAAACGAUGUACGUGUUUCUGUCAAUGAUCAAUGCUUUUAAUGAUUAUCUAAAUAAUUUUUUUUAAAUGUGUGUACUCGUCGCAUUCAAAUUUUUGUAACCUAAAAUUUGUUGCUUGCUGAUUUUAUUUCUUGUGACAACAAUGCGAUUUUUUAAA